ensembl:snoRNA small nucleolar RNA, C/D box 126
AGUUUGCCAUGAUGAGAUGCAUGUUAAGUCCGUGUUUCAGCUGAUCUCCCUGAUUAAACACGUGCUCUGAGCAGACC